rnacentral:rRNA from 1 species
GAUGAACGCUAGCUACAGGCUUAACACAUGCAAGUCGAGGGGCAGCAUGGUCUUAGCUUGCUAAGGCUGAUGGCGACCGGCGCACGGGUGAGUAACACGUAUCCAACCUGCCGUCUACUCUUGGCCAGCCUUCUGAAAGGAAGAUUAAUCCAGGAUGGGAUCAUGAGUUCACAUGUCCGCAUGAUUAAAGGUAUUUUCCGGUAGACGAUGGGGAUGCGUUCCAUUAGCUUGUUGGCGGGGUAACGGCCCACCAAGGCAUCGAUGGAUAGGGGUUCUGAGAGGAAGGUCCCCCACAUUGGAACUGAGACACGGUCCAA